rnacentral:ncRNA from 1 species
CUGGCUGUGGCAGCCAAGUGUUCAUAGAAACGUUGCUUUUUGAUCCUUCAUUGUCGACUCUUCCUGUCAUUAUUAAGCAGAAUUCACAAAGCAUUGGAUUGUUCACCCACUAAGAGGGAACGCGAGCUGGGAUUAGACCAUCGUAAGACAGGUC